rnacentral:misc_RNA from 1 species
GAUGAAGAACGCAGCGAAAUGCGAUAAGUAAUGUGAAUUGCAGAAUUCAGUGAAUCAUCGAAUCUUUGUACGCACAUUGCGCCCCCUGGUAUUCCGGGGGGCAUGCCUGUCCGAGCGUCAUUACAACCCUCAAGCUCAGCUUGGUGUUGGGCCCCGCCGCCCCGGCGGGCCCUAAAGUCAGUGGCGGUGCCGUCCGGCUCCGAGCGUAGUAAUUCUUCUCGCUCUGGAGGUCCGGUCGUGUGCUCGCCAGCAACCCCCAAUUUUUUUCAGGUUGACCUCGGAUCAGGUAGGGAUACCCGCUGAACUUAAGCAUAUCAAUAAGCGGAGGA